rnacentral:lncRNA from 1 species
CUGUCCUCAUGACUUAAUAAUCUGACAAAGGCCCCACCUCCAGAUACCAUCACACUGGGAUUAAGGCUUCAAUGUAUGACUUUUAGGAGGACACACAUUUUCAGUCUAUACCAAAUGCCUUCACAGAAAUAUCUAGAAUGGUGCUUGGCCAAAUAUCUGGGUACUGUGGCCUACCCAAGCUGACACAUAAAAUCGACUCUCAGUCUCUUCAAAGUCUGAUGUUGGCUUCUUCAAUUCAAGACACCACUAGGCUCCCUUUGGAUUCCACUUCCCUACACAGCAGCUGUUGCUGCAGUGACCAGCAGCUGCACAAGGUGUCACCUAUGCUGUUCAUCGCCCCGUGUAUCUCUUGCUAUCUGCCCUGGGCUUUCUCCACAGCCUGCAGGAACCCACUCACCGUGGGACACCCCUAACUACCAGGAGACAAGAACCAAUGGAUAUUCUCCUGGUCCUUCACUUGGGCAAACAAGUCUUAGGCAUGAUCUCCACGGCUCCUCGGAAGGCCCCCCGGCAGGACUGAGCCCUGGUCACCCAAAGCCAAUCAGAUUGACCUUUCCCUUUCCUCUUUCACACUCCCUGGUCCUCUCUCCUAUUCCUUGGGAUCACUUCCCAGAAGAGAUGACCUGCCUGCAAGUCUCCUUCUCAGCCUCCACUUUCAGGGGGAAUCGGAGGGCAGGAAACAGACAGGUGCACAACCAUGGGCAGAUCCCAGCCUUGUGAGGUGACGGUGGGGCAGGUGGGCUAUUUACAAGAGUACUCAACGGGAAGCUAAUAACUCUCGUCACUGGAAAUGUGUCCAAGGGCCCGCAGCGGGGACGCUGAGCUCCGGGACACCGUGGUUUGCAUGCAUGCUCUUCGGGCUCCAUCCUCUCUCUCCAACUCCUGGUAUCAGAGCUCCUCUGCCCACAACGUUUCAUGUCUCCAGUCUACACUGAUGGGUACCAAACACUGCAUCAGUUCUGGUUCCAUUUUUCACCCAGACCCCGGGCUCAUUCCAAGGCACCUUGCGGACAGAGUCUCCCUGAUAACCUGUCUGUAAGAGAAACAUCUCUUCUUCCCAAUUUCUUCUGUGGAUGUACAACUACCAGACUUGAAGGUUCGGGAUCAUCUUCAACCUGCUGUCCUUCCCCCCACACAUCCCCC